CAGAAAGUCACCAUUUCACCAGAAAAGAGCCGUCAAGUUGGACCAGCGUGAUGUGAACAUGAGAUGGGCACUUGUCAUCCAUGCACUUCCUGUUUAUCUGCAUGAAUAUGCCUCCAACUUCUUCAAGACCUGUACUAAUACCAGACCUCACAGACACUGCUGUGGUUCUCCUCUCAGUUGUCGUG